rnacentral:rRNA from 1 species
UACAGAGGUCCCGAGCGUUGUUCGGAUUCACUGGGCGUAAAGGGUGCGUAGGUGGCGAGGUAAGUCGGAUGUGAAAGCUCGGAGCUCAACUCCGAAAUGGCAUUGGAAACUACCUUGCUCGAGGGUUGGAGGGGGGACUGGAAUACUUGGUGUAGCAGUGAAAUGCGUAGAUAUCAAGUGGAACACCAGUGGCGAAGGCGAGUCCCUGGACAACUCCCGACACUGAGGCACGAAAGCUAGGGGAGCAAACAGG